UUUCCUUUCAGUUUCUAUUUAUUAAUAAAAUUGAUUUCAUGUUUAAAGUUUCUCCAACUGUUAUGGUACGUUUUCUUGCGACACUUCCAGUGGAGAAUUUAGCAGACACCGAUUUCUUCGAUUAUUUAUUUUACUUUUGUUUUGAUUUUAGGCCAAUUUUUCAUUCGAUUGGGUUAAUUUUUCUUUCAAUCUUGCCGAUUGAUUUGAUAUUUUGGUUGUUAUACCAUUGCAUGCACUAAAUUUAGAGUUCAUAUGUCGCGUUGUUCCUUCUUCUCCUUCUCCUCUCCGACUUACCUAUUUACGAGCCUUGCAUUUACUUCGAGGAGAAAAGGGAGAAUUACAAAUAUGCAGGAUAGAGCAUAGGAAACUUCAUAUUAAAAACUCUAUCAAUUUUUCGAAGAAACAGUCAUAUCGUUAUAUCGUUAUAUCGCAGUUUCAGGUAACAUAAAGGACAUACGCCCCUUAUAAACUUUGCUUGGCUGGUGUAUCAAGUACGAUGGAACGAACUAUCUAAAAGUUUCAAAUGCAAAUAAAGGUUAUUUGGAGUUCCAAUUGGAAGAGAAGGGAAAGGACGGUAAAGAAACUGCUAUACUGAUCUAGCAUAGCUCAUAUUGAGAGGUAAGGACUGAAAUUUUACUUGUUGAAAAAAUUAUAUAAAGAAUUGCGGUUAAUCAAUUCAGUUCUCUUCCUCUCUUGCACUGAGGCAGUAUGUUUUAGCUAAUUUGUGUAAAAAAAAAAGAAGAUUAAAAAAUAUUCUUUUUUGUGAUCAUUUUUUCUAUAUGAGUUGGCUGAUUGAAGAAUUUUAUAAUUGAGAAUUUGGAUGUAAUUUGGAGUUUGGUAGAAAGCAUAAUGGUUUAACUGAUUAUGCAAAGAAAUUCACUUUUCAAAUGAGGUAUGCCUUUCUCCACAUGAUGUAAUACUUGGGAUGAUUGCUCACAGAUAACAAUUAUAAAAAUGACACUGAGACUAUACAUUGUUUCCUCUAUGCUUUGUCUUCUAAAGUUGCAAGACACCAACUAAGUAUUUAUUUCACUUUGUGAAGCUUCACUCCAUAAUGAGAAGCUAAGAAUUAAUGGAAAGGUUUCUAUCCCGUGUUUUAGAUAUAUUUCAUGCUUGAUUUGUGGCCUUGAGCUAUGGGAUUGUUUAUAAUUUUUACAGACUUUUAUUAAAUGAAUUUGCAGAACACCGGAUACAUUUUAUAGAUAUUCUUAUUGGAAGAUCUUUGUAAAAUUCCAAGAUCUUUCUCUUUGUUGUUGUGUCAUUCAAAAUUUGCUUGUAAUCAAAUCACUUUAAGCACGAUAAGAAAGGAAUACAACUUCGCA